GGGGGGGCGAGGUUUUAGGGGAUUUCGGUCUGAUUCCGCCUGCAAAGCCUUACCAACUUUUGAGGGAGCGUCCUAACCCCCUCGGGGAUUACUCAGAGGAAAGACCCCACGUUUGGCCAAGCAAAUCUCCGUAGACCGUCUGUUGGGAAAAAAGCACCCGGAAUCCUACAAGAAUCUUCAAGGGAAAUAAUAAUAAUAAUAAUAAUAAAAUCUGGAUCGUAAAGGUGAAAGCUUUAUAACGGGGGGAGGAAAACAAAACCAAAAACCCCAAGCUACCCCCUCCCCCAGAACUCUCACUUUGGAAGAAACUACCCAAACCAUGAGGGCCGUCUCUGGGGCGUUGGAAAAAGGAUGUGGGAGCGAACCAGGUAACAGAGCUGCUCUCUUGGCAUGCAUUUCUGAUCUUUUUAUUGCCUCCUCUCACGAGAGAAGUUCGGG